rnacentral:misc_RNA from 1 species
UUUCCGUAGGUGAACCUGCGGAAGGAUCAUUAAAGAAUUUGCCCCGUCCUCUCGAGGAUGGGUCCUCUUCUAAACCGUGUAUACAUACCUUUGUUGCUUUGGCGGGCCGCCGUCUCGGCGUUGGCUCCGGCUGACUGUGCCCGCCAGAGAACCCCAACUCUUCUGUUUAGUAUUGUCUGAGUACUAUAUAAUAGUUAAAACUUUCAACAACGGAUCUCUUGGUUCUG